rnacentral:rRNA from 1 species
UACAGAGGAUGCAAGCGUUAUCCGGAAUGAUUGGGCGUAAAGCGUCCGUAGGUGGUUUGUCAAGUCUGUGGUUAAAGCGUGGAGUUUAACUCCAUAAAGGCCAUGGAAACUGACAGACUAGAGUUAAGUAGGGGUAGAGGGAAUUCCCAGUGUAGCGGUGAGAUGCGUAGAGAUUGGGAAGAACACCGGUGGCGAAAACGCUCUACUGGACUUAUACUGACACUGAGGGACGAAAGCUAGGGGAGCGAAAGGG